UACGUAGGGGGCUAGCGUUGUCCGGAUUUAUUGGGCGUAAAGAGCGUGUAGGCGGCCAGGUAGGUCUGCUGUGAAAACUCGAGGCUCAACCUCGAGACGUCGGCGGAAACCAUCUGGCUAGAGUCCGGAAGAGGAGAGUGGAAUUCCUGGUGUAGCGGUGAAAUGCGCAGACAUCAGGAAGAACACCCGUGGCGAAGGCGGCUCUCUGGGACGGUACUGACGCUGAGACGCGAAAGCGUGGGGAGCGAACAGG
rnacentral:rRNA from 1 species